AAAAAGGCAUUCCUCCAGAUGUUAUCGCAUAUAGUUCAUUGAUUGAUGGUCUUUGUAAAUUUGGUCUAUGGGAGAAGGUUAGUACUUUGUUCUUCGAAAUGGUAAAUCUUAAUAUUUAUCCAGAUGUCCACACCUUCAACAUACUAACACAUGGUCUAUGCAAAGAAGGAAAAGUUGAAAGAUGCUGAGGUAAUGAGACACAUGAAUGGAAAAGGUGUGGAGCCUAAUGUGCACCUUCAGCAUACUGACAGAUGGUCUAUGCAAAGAAGGAAAAGUUGAAGAUGCUGAGGAGGUAAUGAGACACAUGAAA
rnacentral:lncRNA from 1 species